GAAGCGGCUGGCCGAACGAGAGACGGGCUCGUUCUCCACACCCCGAGUGCCGGCUAGGGCCGCCGCCGCCGCCGCCGCCCCAAUCCUGCUCCGCCCGCCUCGUCUCUCCUUAGAGAGGAGAAAGAGUUGCUCUUCCAUGGCUGGCAGAGGAGCCGUCGCCCCCGCCGCCACGAUGGAGAUGGAGUACCUGAACUGAAAGAAGAGUGCGCCGGUGCUCUACGACCUCGUCAUGUCCUAGCCGCUCGAGUUGCCCUCCCUCACCUUCCAGUGGCUCCUUUCAGAGUCGCCGGCCUCCACCCGCUCCCACAGCCUCGUCCUCGGCACUCACACCUCCGAUGACUCCCCCAACCACCUCAUGCUUGUCGAUGCCGUGCUCCAGCCCCCGCCGCGCCUGGCCGUGGCGGCUGCCGCCAGGGCCGCGCCACCCCGUCCGUGUCCAUCGGUCACUCAGCGCCCCAUAAGGGGGAGGUCAACCGCGCUGGGAGCAUAUGUACGGCCUUGGGGAGGACGGCGUGGAGGUAUGCACUGGCGUGGAGCACGAUGAAGGAGGGGUUCCUGCUGAGCGGCUCGUACAAUAAGAAGAUUUGCAUAUGGGAUCUCAAGGCCGGGAAUCGAGCCCCAGUUCUGGAUGCGCAACAGGUGUUUGAGACAUCCAUGACCGCACCAUGAAAGAGCGGGAGAUGCCGAGCUACAUCAGGAUGCCGUUCCCUCUGACGCCUCUCAUGUCGCCGUUAAGGCCUCGAGCUGGCUGCGACCAAGCACGACCUCUAGCUCCUGCACCAGCAGUGCUACGCGGACGACAGAAUUCAGACGAUUCACAGACGACACAUACAUCCAGCCGGACAUGCGCAUGAAUGAGCAGGGCACCGGCCGCUGGAUUUUCAGGUCGUGCAUAGAUCGGGCAAAAGCAUCGUGUGUGGAGCAAUUUCGCUCCUGCACCGCGAUUGCAGUCGCGCGGCUGAUGGCCACGGGCUGCUCCACGCACGGACGACAAGCACGGUGUCCGCGAUCAAGGUGCUCUUGCCCCUCUUCUCUUCCCGGUGGCUCUAUCCAUCCCCCCUGUUUGAUUCGGCUGUCAUUCCAGAUCGUUAGUUGCUAAUUGGAGUAACUCUAUUGGUUAGAAUUAUUUAGAUGCAGCGUUUCAGAUUUGCAGUGCGUAGCGAGUGAAGAGAUUUAGGUUCGUUAUGUUCUCACAAUUGCUAGGGCUUUCAGGCUAGACGGACAUUUCUAUGCGACAUGGCAAUGUGAGAGUUUUCCUACUUCUUAUGUUUAGUUCCUGAAUCUCAAUAAAAUGAAACUAUAAAAAUCCUGAGCUACCUCUACACUCACAGAGCUUACAAGUUGGCAUAAUUAGGAUGAACAAACAUCUUUACCUUAUCAGCGUGACCCCCCAACAGGAAAUAGCUUCGCAUCUAAUGAGAAGUGAUACGCGCAACCUUGUUUUAUGCUUGCUCGAACUGAAGAGAUCUCUCAGAAGAUAAAUGUUGUGUAAAAUGCACAUGGAACUUAAUAUAGAACAAAGUAAUGAUAGUUAACCACUUAUUUAGCAGUAAAAAAACAGUCUACAUUGUACUGAAAUAUAAAGGUUUAACCACUUAAUUAGCAGUAAAAAACAGUCUACGCUGUACUGAAAUAUAAAGGUGGGAACCUGGAUGGCUGUAGCUUUUUCACGAUGAUCAUCUGGCAUACUUCUCUGAAGAGAACAAACUAAGGAACCAAUGGAGCUACCACAUAAAACAGUGAAAAAAAUAGGAAGAAAAUAAUCUAGGAUGUGAUCCUGACAUGGCCAUCAGACAUUGUGGCGAUGUUGACAGUUUCUUUGACAACAUAUGUUUGGUUUGUUUCCACUACAAGGCAAAGCAAGGGAAAAGAACAGGUAAAUCUUGUGUGGCUGUGUGAUGCAUUUCUUGUUGGUAUACGACUACGAACGACGGUAAUACCAAAUAUUAUUUAUCUUUUACCUUUCUGAAUCUUGUAGCACAGCAGAAACAUGCUUUUGUGCUAUUCAAUAAUGCCUCUAUUUGUUUUGAUGGAUUUAGUGAUUAUUCGUUGAUUACGGUAGUGGGGAUUUGGAGAGAAUCAAGAAGUUGCCACAUGAACUGUCAUUUAUCUCUCUAACUUCCAUUUAGUAAAAUUUCUAUUUCUGAUGUUCUACUCUUUCUGAAUUUUUAUGUGGUGCAUUGUGAAGAUCCUUCUCUACUGCAGGAGAACCUGAGAUGCGACAUCAACGUGGUGGUCAUAUAUCAGAAAGGCAAGUUCUUGUGAAAGGAAGGUACCAUACCUUGAUUCCCAUUGGGCUGCAUAUCUGCUGCUUUGGUGUUCCUCCAGUCAGUGUGAAUGGCUGUUUGUAGGUCAAGAUCUCCGGCGGCAGGCCAACGGGCACCAUCUCGAGCCAUCGGCACGUGAACCAUGAAAAUGAUUGAGUUGCUUACUGCAUGUCAUGUUAUAUGCACUGGUUUUCAGAUCAUGGUGUGGAGCUUGAGAACCUGCAUCAGAGACAAGAAACACAAGGUCCAUUAUGAGUCUGUACUAGGAUUGAAGUAGGAAGCUGCCAGAGGUGUGUAAUUCAUGUACGCGCAUAUGUUUUCUUGAUUCUCUCUCCAAGGCCAAUACGGAGGAUCCCGUUAAGCUGCUAUUAAUUGGUUGCAUCCAGACGCUCUAAAGCACGGUGCCGACCUAUAUAAUUAUAAGUUGGUAAAUUUGACUUUGAAUUUUUACUAUGCCAUGUAUUAAUGUUGCCAUUUACAGCAUUUCCUCUUGCUACCCUACCAUGGACCCUCCCUCACAUAUACUUCAUCCUUUUCGGUUUAUAGGGCUUAUUUCAAAAUCUUAGUUUUUCUAUUUUAUUAGGCUCAAUUUGGUUGUUCCCAUCAUAAAUUCAGAUUCCAAGGUGCAUUAAAUCAUUACAUGCAAGUAUUAAGAGAAAACUGACCAAUGCAUGUACUUUAUGCAUGCAUGCAUUGUAAUUAAUACAUUGGUAAACAUAAUUUUUUUGAGAAAAACAAGAGUAUUAAUUGGGUGUUUUUGCAAAUUACAAAUAGUAUUCCAUCAUUCACCAUCUAUCUUGGUUGAUGAGAUUUUUGAAUUGAGCCCUAUAAACUGAAAAGGAGAGGGUACUGGAGAAGUCUGUUAGACAUCACCAAGCAUAUUGAAUAACAAGUCUUAUCAGAUGAAUGGUUCAAAAUGUUGUAUGCAAGUCCAUGCAUGAUUGUAAGUUUUGUUGCAAGUCUAUCUCAAGCAUUGAGCAUUACUGUCGAGGACCAUGCCGCUGCAAUGGACCUCCCGGUUUUCUCUGAAUAUGCAAAGGCAAGGAGUGCAUUAGACCUCCCAG